CGCCGAAUGUGUGAUAAUGUGUCGCUUCGCGACGUGAUAUUUGCCUGCGGCAAAUAUAUAGCGC
rnacentral:misc_RNA from 1 species